rnacentral:rRNA from 1 species
UAAUAAUUUAUUUAUAUUUAUAUUCUUUAAUUUAUAAUAUACUAAUUUUAUCAUUAUUUCUAUUUUUUUAUUAUUAAAAAAUAUUUUUUUAUAAAAAAUUAAAUAAUAUUAAAUUUUAUUUAAUAUAAAAUUUUUUUUAAUAAAUUAUAAUUUUUAAACAAUAUAAAUUUUAAAAAUUUUAUUAAUAAUUAUUUUUUAUUAUAAAUAUUUAAAUUAAAGCUUAUCCCUUAAAAUAUUUAAUUUUGAAAAUUUUAUAUUUAAUUAAUCAAAUAUAAAAUUUUUCAAAUUUAAAAUUAAAUUUUUUUCUAAAAAAACUAGAUAUAUUUAAAAACGAUUAACAUUUCAUCUCCAAUUAAUUAUUUAAAAUAAUUAUUCAACAUUAACUUUUAUAAUUAAUUAACUCUUUUAAAUUCGAGAUUUUAUUAUUUAUUAAAUAUUUUUUAAUAAACUCUGAUACACAAGAUACAAUAAAUUAAAUUUACUUUUUUUAUAUUUUUUUUUCAAUUUUAUUUCAAAUUUCUUUUACAAUAUUAAUUUACUAUAAAAUUUUUCAUUUUUUUAUAAAAAAUACUUUAAUACCCCCCAAUAUUAAAAUUUUUUUUAUUAAUUUUAUUUUAUUAAUUUACCCCC